UUGGCAUCGUCGAUGGUCCAGGAACAUAGUAGUGUCGCCUUUUGUAAACCACCAUUCUGUAAAUGUAGCAAACGAUUCGAUUAGUCGAUUGUCAAUCGCGAUUCCUAAUUCCUAUUCCAUCGAUUUGUAUCGUUAUGCGAGGAAGAAACGAAGCGCAAUUGGCGAUAUACGUUUUAAAGAGGAUACACCAUCUUGAAGAUCGAUUCUGUGAGAACUGGUGUCAAGUGCUUCGAUGAUGCGUUCCCGUCACGUCCGUAUGAACACGUGUACGUACAGUGAUGAGAAAAGUAUUUGACUCGCAGAAGUAUUUAAACGUUUCUCGUAGAAAGUUUUUCUAAAUAUAUUACGCAUAUACCUACAACAUACGAAACUUUUCGAAAUUUUAUAACGAAUCACAAGUAUCGUAAUCACGGUGAUAGAAUUUGAAAGCAGUCUAAAAAUUUACAUAGGAGUUACAAGAUAUUUACUGUAAGCAUAUAGUUUGUAAAAAUAUAAUAUAAUUUAAAUACAUUAAAAAUGAUAAUAAUAAUAUAGUAGAUACGUGGCUGUUUAAAUAAUAGCUUUAGCGAAACGCAUAUUUGCAAGAAAUAUCUCGUAACUUUUUCAAACUCGUUUCAAACUUUAUCGAUGAUCUCGUGUCAUGCAAAAUCUUUUCCAUAACAUACAUAACAUAUUCCAACAGUUUCUACGAGUGUUCGAAUACUUUCAUGAGUCAUCGUAUGUGAGUGUAUGUAUGUUAAUGUUAGGUCCAUGGGAUUCACACGACUCUACGCGACCAACGCUUGAAACGUAUCCUUGUUCUAUCGAUAAACGAUCAAACGACUAAUAAACUUUCUCGUUCGGUGUUCUCAGAUCGAACAAAUUGUUUUCAUUAUCCGUUUGCUAAUAAAAUACAACGAUAAAUUAUGUAGAUCGUGUAGAAUCGAAGUGUCGCGACGAGAAAAUGUUGUUUCGCGUUGGUUUACCGAUCGCGGUUACGUCGGCGCGAUAUAGCGAACGUGUGUUACGUGUCGCGACUUCCGGUGUUCCGUGCGUCGCCAUGAAAUUGGCGUAACCGUCAGACAGUCAAUGUCGAUUGUCUCGACAAUACGAUCGAGUUCUAACAUUGUCAUUCCACGUUCUCGAAAUGAGUCCAUUUUAUGUGUUUAACGAUAACAAAGACAAACAGAGAAAAGAGAUAAAAGAGAAAUGUUAUGCGAGAAAUCGUCACGUUCACUUUUAUGCGUCGUUUUUCAGCACGAUCAACCGGGACAGUGGCGCGAAUAAAUAGCUGUAGUUGCAAAAAUGCGAGUUUAUUUAAAUGGAUAUGCGAAAUGGAUUUGGAUUUGUUCAAAGGAAUAAAUUUUGAGGAUCGGAGAGACGAUAGACUGCGUCCUCGCUGAAGCAACACCGAGCAGCUUUUUUGUUGCCUGUCGUUGCUGCAUGUUCCGAACGGAACUCAACAAAUAUCGAAUCGUAAAAUUAAUCACUUGGAGUUCUCUUUUUUUAUUUCAAAGCGAAAAUUGUUUUCAAUAAGUUGUUUGCACCCAAAUGCUUUGUAAAACAGUUGACAAACUGUACACGCUGAAGGAACGUUUGUUUCUGUUGCAACGCGUUGCUGCGUGUUUCUUACUUUUAGCCUCGGUCUUCGGCAUUACGGAAACAGGCAAGAAGCACCAAGCUUCGUCAUCAACGACAGAAACGCGAAGGAACAUGAAAAAACACCGAGCAACGACCCGUAACUUUUUCAUACGGUAUGCAACUUGAGUAAGAAGAUCCUCGUUGUUCAAUCGCUUCAAUGAGGACGAAACUUUAGAGGAACAGGUUAGGUAAAUUUUCUGAUUAAUAUAUACUCUUUAUUUAAAAAUCAGCACACACGCAGGUAAACCUAGGUAAGAGGAAGCAUGCCGAUAUCGUUGACCGGAAACAAUCGAAGACGGUCUCCGUUUACCUUUUUCAUACGAGCGACGUUUCUUUUACUCUGUCUCGUUUGUCGUUCCUACUUUGUUUCGUCGUCCUGCAACCAUCCCAUCCUGCUUUACGGAUCGAUCAACGACCCGUUAGGACGCGUGGAACGAGCGUAUUUACUAAUAAACUUUAUUUAUUCGAACGAUUCAACUACUAUCACGAAAUAGUUAGUCUAAUUGUAAGCGUCGAGCGUUACCAGCGAACGCUAUACUCUGUUACGUUAACUCGAUACCCUUUAAAUAAAUAUAUUGAAAACUAAGACGACAAAUCCUGACGUAUUGCUAAUGCAACGUGUCGAUACUUAAAAGCGAACUUACACGCUAUAUUACCCGAUACUUGGAGAUCCCGUAAAUCUAAUAGUAGCGAUUAUUCCAAUAAAGAAUCAUCAUUGCUAGCCGCGAAACGUAGAAAAAUAAAUACUUCUCGAGGAAUAGCAUGGUUCGGAGAUGGGUUGUUGAUAAGGCCUCUUUGGUACACGCACGAUGUAGCACGGUGGUCGGAUUGACUAGACAAGAUCUACUACAAGGCGCUACUAUCCUCGCUCUCGAUUCUUUCACCAUAGUAUAUGCAACAGAUGUUUUUCAACAUUUGUCUACAACAUUUAGACGCGGCGCGCCUAAUUCAAAAAUUCUUCCCAGAAUACUCCGCGUACUUUGCCGGUGCUAUACAUACUUUACGUAAGCUUUCGUAGCUAUACGUGCUUUAUAUAAGCUCCUCCUCCCACCCUUUCCUACAAGAUUUCCUUACACCGUUGUUAUUCAAAUUCAUGCGCGUGGUUCGCUUUUCAGCUGGAUACCUUGGUGGCGACGCAAAGCUAUACAACUCAAUUAAUACUGAAAGUUAUGGCGAAAUCCCUCGUUCGGCUAUUCCUCUACGCGAAUUAACGUACACGUUAAUGCACACGUGGUCUGAUCCGCGAGCCAACCGAGUUGAACCGAAAGAUCGUUAUCGUAGAAGCGCGUCCUCGACCAGCGAAGAGGCGUUACGAAAAUCACAGAAUAUUGCACGCGACACGAUGCGGAGACACGGGAUGGAAUAGAGAAAUAUGUUGUAGCUUGUCACGAUACCGCGCUCGAAAGGAAUAUCGUCGAUAAUCUCGAGCGACGUUCGUUUAAGAUAAUUGCUAAAAUUAGCGGCAACAGGGAAACGUUACGUCUUUGGAUAAACCGUUUAUAACCGUAACAAUAGCCAAGAUAAGUCUCGGCUUUUCCCUUGAACGUCGAGCUGUUAA